UACGGGGGGAGCAAGCGUUGUUCGGAUUUACUGGGCGUAAAGGGCGCGUAGGCGGCCACCGCAAGUCGACUGUGAAAUCUCCGGGCUUAACCCGGAAAGGUCAGCCGAUACUGCGGGGCUAGAGUGCAGAAGGGGCAACUGGAAUUCUCGGUGUAGCGGUGAAAUGCGUAGAUAUCAGGAGGAACACCGGUGGCGAAGGCGGGUCUCUGGGCCGAUACUGACGCUGAGGAGCGAAAGCGUGGGGAGCGAACAGG
rnacentral:rRNA from 1 species